GGAAAUUAUUUUUUGUUUAUUUAUUAUUAUUAUUAUUAAAAAGGAGGAAGAUUACAAUGAUUUAUUAGGUUAAGACAUUAGUUAAAAUGGGAUUAUUAAAAUUAAGAUUAUGAAUUAUUUAUUUAUUUAUUAACAUUUUUUUUUAUUGGAAAAUAACCAAGAUGCUUCAAGUACCAUAAAGCUCCUUCAGCUGCAUGCUCUGCUGCA
rnacentral:misc_RNA from 1 species